GUUGCUGCGCUCCUACAAUAACGCGCCGCUGCGCGUCAACAUCACUGUCAGAAUGACAGUAGGUAAGGAAGGUGGGGAAACGUCAACGAUUGAGGGAGAAGAAAUCGUGAUAUAGCAAAAGUGGUUGGCGAAUAUAAACAUAAUUGAUUGUUCCAAUUUCUAACUAAAAUUAAAUUAGCUGCUAUUUGAAUCGUUAGUAGUGUUAGUAGAUUAGUAAAUCAUAGUAAAACAAAAACGUGAAUUAAAGUGGUUUAGCUAAAUAUUAGUACGUUUCUAUGCGAAGCUGUUAUCGGAAAUCAUAAAAGGGGCAUGCAAAACAGUUAAACAUAAGACAAACACGUUAAAAACAGCAUUUCCACCGCCACCGAUCAAUGAGAUUAAACGAAGAACACACUGAAACGAGACACUAAACGUAAGUCGACCUAAAUUUGCUACAAAUGUUACUGUUUAUAAGACAAUACUUUACUUCACACGCUAAAAUGAUACCGAAACACAGAAACGAAAAACUAAUUAGUAUGCUAAACAUAAUUACAAAAAUCUCCCUAUGCCCUUUUACUUGAUAGGGAUUUUUUAGCGUUCGUCACAAUAAACGUCGUUCAAGAAACCGGAAAACAGUCUCUGUUUUCGUUGCAGUU